rnacentral:rRNA from 1 species
GAAAGAUUAGUCUUAUUAAUUAUUUUUGUUUGGCUUUUUACUUUAAAUUAUUAGUGUUUUUAUUAUAUAUUAAAGAAAAAAUUUUAUUUAUUAUAGAUAAAUAGUACAGUAGAGGAAAGGCUGAAUUUUACUAUAAAGAAAAAUUGAAUUUUUGUACCUUGUGCAUCAGGGUUUAUUAAUAAUAAGUUAUUUAUUUAAAUUUCUCGAAUUCUGAAGAGCUAGGUUUUUAUUUAUUUUAUUGUUUUAUAAAUAUUUAUAAUAAAAGGCUAGUAAUGAAACGUUAUUCGUUUUAGAAUAUAUCUAGUUUUCUAAGAAAUUAAUUUAAUUAAGUCCUUUUUUAUAAAUAAUUUAAUUUAGUAGUAAGUUUAUUUAUAAGGUUAAAAUUAGAAUGGGAUAAGCUUUUCUAGUAAUUCUUAAAAUAUAAGGGAAAUAGGAUAGAUAUUAGGAUUAAAAGUUUCAACAUCUAGAAUUGUGUUAUAACUUACUAUCUUGAGAUUUUAUUUAUAUUUCAUUUAAGUUGUUUAUUGGAAUAAAUACUUAAAUUUUAAGGUAUUGUAAUAAUGAUGAAAUUAGUAUAAAUUUAUGUUUUUAUUAUGAAGAAAAUGAAGGUAAGAUUAAGGAAUUCGGCAAAUGGAUUUUUCACCUGUUUAUUAAAAACAUGUCCUUUUGAUAAUAAUCUAAGGUCUGAUCUGCCCACUGAGGAAUUAAAUGGCCGCGGUAUUUUGACCGUGCAAAGGUAGCAUAAUAAUUAGUUUUUUAAUUGAAAGCUGGAAUGAAUGAUUUGAUGAGAAAAUAGCUGUCUCAAUUUUAUUAGGUUAGAAUUUUACUUUUAAGUUAAAAGGCUUAAAUUUUUAUUGAAGACGAGAAGACCCUAUAGAGUUUAAUAUUUAUUUUUGUUAAUUAUUUAUAGGUUUAAUUUUUUUUAGUAAGAUUAAAUAUUUUGUUGGGGUGACGGGAAAAUUAACUUAACUUUU